rnacentral:rRNA from 1 species
GCGCAACCCCUAUCAUUAGUUGCCAUCAGGUCAUGCUGGGGACUCUAAUGAGACUGCCCGCGCAAGCGGUGAGGAAGGUGGGGACGACGUCAAGUCAUCACGGCCCUUACGGUCCAGGGCUACACACGUGCUACAAUGGUAGAUACAGCAGGUUGCCACAUGGUAACAUGGAGCUAAUCCCAAAAGUCUAUCUCAGUUCGGAUUGAGGUCUGCAACUCGACCUCAUGAAGCUGGAUUCGCUAGUAAUCGAAAAUCAGCAAUGUUUCGGUGAAUACGUUCCCGGGCCUU